rnacentral:misc_RNA from 1 species
CCUUCCUCCAAAGGCCCACCAAAGAACAAUGGCCUAUCACAGAACAUCCCAGAUGCAUCUAGCACCGUUAAUCUCAUCUCCUUGAUGGACAUAAGAGAUGGCCGAUUGAGUAUUAUCCCAUAUGGGCCCACAUGCCCCACUGAUAAUAGAAGGAUCACCGUUCGUUCAAAAAUAUGAACCCCAUCAAGCUUUUCUGUGGCUAUUAGUAGGCAACCCUUUUCAGGCUCAUGGAUGGGAUGGGCCCAUUUGUCUCCAAUUUUGACUUGUAGUGGAUGAUCUACUUCCACAGCAGUAUCAGG